rnacentral:rRNA from 1 species
GGGUGAGUAACACGUGGAUAACCUACCUAUAAGACUGGGAUAACUUCGGGAAACCGGAGCUAAUACCGGAUAACAUGUUGAACCGCAUGGUUCAGCAGUGAAAGACGGUCUUGCUGUCACUUAUAGAUGGAUCCGCGCCGCAUUAGCUAGUUGGUAAGGUAACGGCUUACCAAGGCAACGAUGCGUAGCCGACCUGAGAGGGUGAUCGGCCACACUGGAACUGAGACACGGUCCAG